rnacentral:rRNA from 1 species
AUUGAACGCUGGCGGCAUGCCUUACACAUGCAAGUCGAACGGUAACGGGCCUUCGGGUGCCGACGAGUGGCGAACGGGUGAGUAAUGCAUCGGAACGUACCUUUCAGUGGGGGAUAACGUAGCGAAAGUUACGCUAAUACCGCAUAUUCUGUGAGCAGGAAAGCAGGGGAUCGCAAGACCUUGCGCUGAUUGAGCGGCCGAUGUCAGAUUUGCUAGUUGGUGAGGUAAAGGCUCACCAAGGCGACGAACUGUAGCGGGUCUGAGAGGAUGAUCCGCCACACUGAGACUGAGGCACGCACCAGCAUCCUACGGGAGGCAGCAGUGCGGAAUUUUGGACAAUGGGGGCAACCCUGAUCCAGCCAUGCCGCGUGAGUGAAGAAGGCCUUCGGGUUGUAAAGCUCUUUCGGCCGGGAAGAAAUCGCACAGGCUAAUACCUUGUGUGGAUGACGGUACCGGAAUAAGAAGCACCGGCUAACUACGUGCCAGCAGCCGCAGUAACAC